rnacentral:rRNA from 1 species
CUGGCUCAGGAUGAACGCUGGCGGCGUGCUUAACACAUGCAAGUCGAACGGAGAUAUCGGCUUCGGCUGGUAUCUCAGUGGCGGACGGGUGAGUAACGCGUGGGUAACCUGCCUUACACCGGGGGACAACAGUUGGAAACGACUGCUAAUACCGCAUAAGACCACGGAGCCGCAUGGCCCUGGGGUAAAAGAUUUAUCGAUGUAAGAUGGACCCGCGUCUGAUUAGCCAGUUGGCGGGGUAACGGCCCACCAAAGCUACGAUCAGUAGCCGACCUGAGAGGGUGAUCGGCCACAUUGGGACUGAGACACGGCCCAAACUCCUACGGGAGGCAGCAGUGGGGAAUAUUGGGCAAUGGGCGCAAGCCUGACCCAGCCGACGCCGCGUGAGUGAAGAAGUAUUUCGGUAUGUAAAGCUCUAUCAGCAGGGAAGACAAUGACGGUACCUGACUAAGAAGCACCGGCUAAAUACGUGCCAGCCGCCGC